GUACAGCGUGUUGUGAAUGUGUUAGCAUUUAGCCUUGCCCCAUUCAUUCCUAUGGUACCAAACAGGGAAGCCACCAAACACUUCCGUGUUUUCCCUAUUUAAAGACUGUUACAUGAGGAGUUAUACCAGUAAGUAUGGUGCCACAAAAUAAAACUUUUUUUUGGUACCAUAGGAAUGAAUGGGGCUAGGCUAAAUGCUAACACAUUCACAACACGCUGUACAGUGCACGCAUUGAAAAAAGAUAGGUAUGUAUUAAUUCGUCUAGGUUGAGGUAAUAACAUAGUUUAAUAUGGCAAAAGGGUAGACUAUUCCUUUAAGAAAAAUGGUUCUUUGAAGGUUCUGAAAUGAUGGUAAAGGUUCUAUAUGGAACCAUAGCUUAAUGAAGAACCCUUUUUUUGCUGAAAUGGUUCUUUGUCUUCGCAAAAGGGUUUCUUCAGUUCCCACCUUCUUUGAUUUUAAAUUUAGUCAGUUAUUUUCAAGCUGCCUCCUGAUUAUUUUCACCUGUAAAGCCCUGAAUCAUCAGUCCUGCUGAACUGCCUGCAGACUAACAACACAAACAGGUAAACUUUAUACUGUAAGCUUCAUUCCCUUUAUAACAGAGUUUUUGUAUGUGAGGUAAUCUUGCUGGGAGUUAAGGCAGUGCGUAUGACCGCUUGAUAUUGGAGACACAUCCUGUUUUUCAAGGUGGAUCAUAGCUCUAGUAAGUUGGAUAGCUGCAGGUCGGUCAUUGGCUUGAUAACAGUGGUUUAUGAAUAAAUCUUUCAACAACCAUUCAGAACCAAAUCUUGUUCGGCCUGAUGCUCAACCUUGUACAGUUCACCAAAUGAUGACCACUGCAAAGUGAUGGGAAUCUGUGGUAAUCACAGUCUGUGUCUCAACAUGACAAUAACAGACCAGCUCUUAUCUCACUCUUAUCUGACUAAAUGUUCAGCUUCAAUGCCACAAAAGAAACAUUGGAAGAAGCAUGUACUGUACAAUGAUCCAGCAAACAAAUAUGGACUUUUUUGUAAGCUUCUACAAACAU